UACAGAGGUCCCAAGCGUUGUUCGGAUUCACUGGGCGUAAAGGGUGCGUAGGUGGCAAGGUAAGUUUGAUGUGAAAUCUCCGGGCUUAACCCGGAAACUGCAUUGAAUACUAUCUCGCUCGAGAGUUGGAGGGGAGACUGGAAUACUUGGUGUAGCAGUGAAAUGCGUAGAUAUCAAGUGGAACACCAGUGGCGAAGGCGGGUCUCUGGGCCGAUACUGACGCUGAGGAGCGAAAGCGUGGGGAGCGAACAGG
rnacentral:rRNA from 1 species